UAUUUUUACAUGGUGCCGCGUCCACGCGAGGAGCGCGUGGCUUUGUUUUGCUCAGACGCCAUGUUGGAUAACAAUCUCACACGCAUGUAACGUGAACAAUUUCGUAUAAGAUUUAUCUGCCACCGAGUACCUAAGUGUUGUGACGAGAUUCCGUUUAUCGGUAGUAAAUAAUGACUUUAAUUAGUGUAAUUUUGUUAUCUACAUUAAUUAAGCUUGCACGCGGUGAUAGCGAUAAAAUAUUUGUAUGUAUGAGGUGUUGAGCCGACGACGAUCCACCGCCGACUGAAACCAAGAGCACUACGGAGCUCCCACAACGACUAUUACGGUGAUAACACUGACCAGUUCAGAUGACCUGUCACAAACACGCCGCGUUGAACAGCUCUGAGCCAUUUCGUCGAAGUAGGACGAUCAUCACCACUGGUUAUAGAUUAGACCUGCGCUUACGCAAAUGGCUCAUGGCAUAAGAUUGGCGAAUGUCAACAGAUAAGGUGUCUAUAUUGAAUCAAGGGUCGGGUCACUGUUUGUUUGGUUUAUUUAUGUAAAUAAUUACAUUUUCAUACUA